GGACUUCCUCCUUUUAUCUGCAGAUUGUUAGUAACUUCUGCACUGUUAACUUCCUCUUCUGACUCCUCUCGUGGCUCUACAGAUUUAAUCUCCAACUCUGCUUCUAAAGGUAAAAAGCCAGCGAAUGCUGGACGUCAAGAGAAUGAAGUCUCUUCUGUUUGGGAGAAGUGUGCGGUUUGGGAAAAGAGACAGGUUUUCUGAAAAGCUGAAGGAGAGGACACUGGAUUCUGACUCUGGCCAUGUGGUGGUUAGAAGGAACUGAGGUCGUGUCUACCCACACUGCCUCUGAUACCCUCAACUUGGGAACACGAGGAGAUCUACUGCACCAACAGACACUGCUUGUUAAAUUCUCUGGGCACAGGAGCACGGUGUGCAUGUGUACCCACACAUGGAAUAUGCACACGGACCAGCACUCAAAGAAGAAUCACCAGUUAGUCAAACAUUUCUUUCAUUCAGCAAAACAAACUGAGGAGGAUUUUGCUUUACUGUACCUUUAUUCUGAGAAGGGGAUGUCCACAUCCCACUAAUAAUUAGAACAGUCCCUGGGCUCUGUGGCGGCUAGUUUUCAAAAAUGCUUAGCAAGGGCUUGUCUUCUGUAGGGUUUUUGGCAUGUACUGAAAUUGGGGGUCCGU